rnacentral:rRNA from 1 species
CCGCGGUAAUACGUAGGGGCAAGCGUUGUCCGGAUUCACUGGGUGUAAAGGGUGCUCAGGCGGACUUGUAAGUCAGAGGUGAAACUCCGAAGCUUAACUUCGGAACUGCCUUUGAUACUGCAAGUCUCGAGUACGGGAGAGGGUAAUGGAAUAACAGGUGUAGCAGUGAAAUGCGUAGAUAUCUGUUAGAACACCAAUGGCGAAGGCAGUUGCCUGGCCCGUUACUGACGCUAAAGCACGAAAGUGUGGG